GACCACGUAGCUCAGUGGCAGAGCGUCGCUUUGGCCCCCCACCACGGGGGGCCACCCUCACUCCGCGAAAGGCCUCGGGUUCGAACCCCGACGUGGUCA